rnacentral:rRNA from 1 species
AGCGGCGGACGGGUGAGUAACGCGUGGGGAACCUGCCCUAUACAGGGGGAUAACAGUUAGAAAUGACUGCUAAUACCGCAUAAGCGCACGGAGCCGCAUGGCGCUGAGUGAAAAACAAUAGUGGUAUAGGAGGGACCCGCGUCUGAUUAGGUAGUUGGUGGGGUAACGGCCCACCAAGCCGACGAUCAGUAGCCGACCUGAGAGGGUGACCGGCCACAUUGGGACUGAGACACGGCCCAAACUCCUACGGAAGGCAGCAG